GCUGCUUAAAUGGUUGAGCUCUCGUUUUGCAUGCAAGAGGCACGGGGUUCGAUCCCCCGCAUCUCCA